rnacentral:rRNA from 1 species
UACGGAGGAUCCAAGCGUUAUCCGGAUUUAUUGGGCUUAAAGGGUGCGUAGGCGGAAUGUUAAGUCAGUGGUGAAAGCCUGCAGCUUAACUGUAGAAUUGCCGUUAAUACUGUUGUUCUUGAGUAUAUUUGAUGUGGGCGGAAUGUGUCAUGUAGCGGUGAAAUGCUUAGAUAUGACACAGAACACCGAUUGCGAAGGCAGCUCACAAAGCUAUAACUGACGCUGAGGCACGAAAGCGUGGGGAUCAAACAGG